AAAAGCCCAAUCCUUUCAAAAUUAGUUAUUAUUGUUUUUUGUGAAAUUUCCUACCUUUUUGUAGUAUAUGUAUUUUCAGAUACACUCAAUACAGUGUUUCAUUUCUCUACAUUGACAAAGCCUCCAUAAAAUAUGUUUAUUCAAGACAUGUCUUUCUGAUGGUUUUAGAAGUUACACCCAACACUAACAUAGCAAAAUAACUAUAUGUAUUUGUCCUUCCACUUUAUAAAUUUUCACUACUUAACAGCACAGUCUCAAAAUAACAUCUAUAGAAUAGGUAUCUAUUAAAAGAAACACUUGCUUAAGGAUAUUCAAACCACCGAUUGAACCCAUGAAACCAAUUAGUCCCAGUGUUAAAAUAGGCCACUGAAAAUCUUCCUUCCAUUAAAUCCUUUUGUGAAGCUGUCUUCUACAGCCCCAUGUGGGUUUUCAAAAGAAGUUCAAGACUAGAACAUUUGUAUAACUGCACCCAAUGUAUCCUUCACUGGUUUGUUUCAUCAAUAAGCACAGAAUUAUUUUAUCAUUUGUUAUAGCUUCCAUCAGUUUGCCCAUUAUGAAAGUAAAAUUAAUUUAAGCCCUAAGUUGGAAGGACAAACUGAAAGUAAAAACAGAGAACAGGAGAUAGGGAGAACUGAAAGCCAUCUCUUUGUCGCCAAAGAUACUCAUCCAUCUCUUACCAUCAGAAACAGAUUUUUUUUUUUAUUUUUUCAGAACUCCAUCUCCUUUCUCCUGGAAAGAUUGUUACUCUGCAUUGGUCCAUGAAGCCUAAAAAGUUCAAUUUUUCUUUUUUCUUUGGGUCUCAGAACACUUUACUUUCUGUAAUUAUGGACUUUAAAUUAGCUUACAAAGCAGUGGCUUUAUAAAAGGCAUUGUCAUGCAUUUUUAGUUUCCCUUAACCUACCCCAAUGCCAUUCACCAUUCCUAUUCCCACUUAAAUCUUUAGCCCCUGGUUCCCCAUCCUGUGUUCAUUCACACUAUGAGAACAAAUUACUGUUUUACCCCCUAAAAUAACAUAAAAACCUAUCUGAAAGCAUAAAAUAUGUAAGGAAAAGUAUUCCAAUUAAUUCGUGCCAAUAGGUUUCUUUUAGGGUUCAAUUUUAAUAUCACCUUUGAUAAUUUCCUAUACAGAAAAAGUAGUGUGGUUUAGGAGGAGAUACAGAUACAAAGUGUGGAAGAUAGACUGAAGGAAAGGCCGUCCAGAGACUGCCUCACAUGCGGAUCCAUCCCAUAGUACAGCUACUAAACCCAGACACUGUUUGUUGAUGCCAAAAAUGUGAUUUUUUUUUAAGAAUUUGGAAAAUGCAAUAGCAAACUUGGCUUUUCAUGUUAAAUGCUAUUUAAUGCUAAAUACCAUUUCUUCUAUAAACAUGACCCCAACAAAUAAACACAUUUGAAUUUUUCUAUGAGAAUGACCAAGGAGGUUCAAUAUAUAUUUAUUUCAUUUUAAAGUAGGAGGGAAAAUGAAAUUUCUUCUAUGUUCUUGUUUCUAAUACAGCUGACAUGUAUUUUAGUGAUUGAAAAAAAAAAGAAUGUGUAUACUGAAUGUGUAUACAGGUGAUUGGUUUCAUCUACUUGAUAUAACUCCUAUAAAUUAGAAAAGUUUUCUUUUUAUGACUAUGUCAGUAUACUGUGAAUUAACUUAGUUUUGCAUUUUUUACACAUUUAAUUUGUCAAUGAUGAGAAAACUACGGGAUGCAAGAUAAAUUCCUUUUCAUUUUCUUGAUUCUAUCUUUUUAAACUGCAUUCAAACAAAACAUUUUUUUGAUUUGAAAAUUGUUUAAAAGAACAGCAGCAACAAAAGAGCCCUUCAUUUCAAAAUCUUCUUUACAGAGUCUAGUGACAAACAUCUUUGGCUUUGGUGUGCCAGCAUUUUAAGCUCCUUAAGUUGUAGCUUAGGUUUGCAAGGGCAUGAACUCAGCACCUACUGUGGGCUUAGUGAUGCUGUUUGAAAUGCUUUAUUGUAAUUUCACCAUGAGUUUAGGAGGUUUGUUUUGUGUAGGCACCUAUUUCAGCAUAAAAUGGACAUGAAAACAAGCCAACGAUGAGUAAUAUAAUGGUGUUCGUUUCAGUCAGCUUUUCCAUUUCCUGUACUGAAAAAAAAAAAAAAAC
rnacentral:lncRNA from 1 species